GCCCCGUUGGCUCAGUGGUAAAGCGUGUCACUAGUACUCGACGUCAUGACAAGAUCACUGGUUCGAUUCCAGUACGGGGCA
rnacentral:tRNA from 1 species